AUUGAACGCUAGCGGGAUGCCUUACACAUGCAAGUCGAACGGAGUGGCGAACGGGGGAGUAAGGUAAAGGAACGGGACCAGUAGCGGGGGAGAACUACGCGAAAGCGGAGCUAAAACCGCAUACUAUUGGCGCGGCCGAUAUCGGAUUAGCUAGUUGGUGGGGUAACGGCUCACCAAGGCGACGAUCCGUAGCUGGUUUGAGAGGACGACCAGCCACACUGGGACUGAGACACGGCCCAGACUCCUACGGGAGGCAGCAGUGGGGAAUUUUGGACAAUGGGGGAAACCCUGAUCCAGCCAUCCCGCGUGUGCGAUGAAGGCCUUCGGGUUGUAAAGCACUUUUAGCAGGAAAGCGGUACCUGCAGAAUAAGCACCGGCUAACUACGUGCCAGCAGCCGCGGUAAUAC
rnacentral:rRNA from 1 species